rnacentral:rRNA from 1 species
GACGAACGCUGGCGGCGUGCCUAAUACAUGCAAGUCGAGCGGACCACUUCGGUGGUCAGCGGCGGACGGGUGAGUAACACGUGGGCAACCUGCCUGUAAGACUGGGAUAACACCGGGAAACCGGUGCUAAUACCGGAUAAUCCUUUCCUUCACAUGAAGGGAAGCUGAAAGACGGUUUCGGCUGUCCCUUACAGAUGGGCCCGCGGCGCAUUAGCUAGUUGGUGAGGUAACGGCUCACCAAGGCAACGAUGCGUAGCCGACCUGAGAGGGUGAUCGGCCACACUGGGACUGAGACACGGCCCAGACUCCUACGGGAGGCAGCAGUAGGGAAUCUUCCGCAAUGGACGAAAGUCUGACGGAGCAACGCCGCGUGAGCGAUGAAGGCCUUCGGGUCGUAAAGCUCUGUUGUCAGGGAAGAACAAGUACCGGAGUAACUGCCGGCACCUUGACGGUACCUGACCAGAAAGCCACGGCUAACUACGUGCCAGCAGCCGCCGUAACAC